rnacentral:lncRNA from 1 species
GAGAUGGGCUGCGGGACCGUGGGUUCAUUUACCUAAGGGGAAAUGUUAGUAGAUACCUGGGUUCACUGAGGCUCUCUCUUCAGGGAUGACAUCAUCGGCUCACACCAGUCUUCCAGGACCACCUUCCAGAUGCCAAGGCUGCUGCUCGAGUACCUGCUGUGCAUCUCUACCUCCUGAGCCAAGGAGCAUGGAUUCCAGGAACCCACUACCAUUCAGAGCAACUCCUCGUGGACCCCCUCCCCCCCCCGAUCAGGACAGCGAGGGACAAGAGACAAAGAGGAUCAUCAGUGGCCAGCUAGUCUCUCUGGGGUUCAAACCUUGAACCAGUGCCCUAGUGAGGGGGCACUGGCCAUGACCCUUGACCUUUGCUCUGCUUGUGUCUUGAGUCUGAGUCCUUUCCUGUACAUCUGUGCUUGUGUUCAUCUGCUAGUGAACUGGAGUGCUGCCCUCCCCGAGGGGGGUC